AGAGUUUGAUCCUGGCUCAGAUUGAACGCUGGCGGUAUGCUUAACACAUGCAAGUCGAACGGAAACGAUACUAGCUUGCUAGUAGGCGUCGAGUGGCGGACGGGUGAGUAACGCGUAGGAAUCUACCAGAUAGUGGGGGAUAGCCCGGAGAAAUUCGGAUUAAUACCGCAUAAUCUCUACGGAGUAAAGGAGGCCUCUAUUUAUAUGCUUUCGCUAUCUGAUGAGCCUGCGUAAGAUUAGCUAGUUGGUGAGGUAAAAGCUCACCAAGGCGACGAUCUUUAGCUGGUCUGAGAGGAUGAUCAGCCACACUGGGACUGAGACACGGCCCAGACUCCUACGGGAGGCAGCAGUGGGGAAUAUUGGACAAUGGGGGCAACCCUGAUCCAGCAAUACCGCGUGUGUGAAGAAGGCCUGAGGGUUGUAAAGCACUUUCAAUUGUGAAGAAAAG
rnacentral:rRNA from 1 species